rnacentral:rRNA from 1 species
GCGCGUUAGUUUACUGAUUCUACUGUGACCUGCAAUUGGCUCUUUAAUUCAUUUAUGUUUUGUUUGAUGGUAUCUUUUACUCGGAUAACCGUAUUAUUUCUAAACCUAAUACUUGCAACAUGCCCCGACUUCUGGAAGGGAUGCGUUUGAUAGAUUUUAGGUCUACGCGAGCUCUGCCCGUUGCUGCGAUGAUUCAUGAUACCUCGACGGAUCUCACGGCCAUCGUGCCGGCGACGCGUCUUUCAACUUUCUGCCCUAUCUUUUUUCUAUGGUAUGAUAGUGGCCUACCAUGGUGGUGACCGGUGACGGAGAAUUAGGGUUCCAUUCCCGACAGGGAUCCUGACAAACGGCUACCACAUCCGCGGAAGGCAUCAGGCGCGCAAAUUACCCAGUCCUGACGGUGGGAGGUAGUAAAAAUAACUAACAAUACCGGGCUCUAUGAUUCUGGUAAUUGCAAGGACUACAAUCUAAAUCCCUUAACAAGGAUCCAUUGUAGGGCAAGUCUGGUCCCCGCAACCAUAUUGAGGCCCCGUAAUUGGAAUGAGUACAAUUUAAAUCCUUUAACAAGGAUCUAUUGGAGGGCAAGUCUGGUGCCAGCCAGCCAAAAAAAGACCC